UACGGGGGGGGCAAGCGUUGUUCGGAAUUACUGGGCGUAAAGGGCUCGUAGGCGGCCUACUAAGUCAGACGUGAAAUCCCUCGGCUUAACCGGGGAACUGCGUCUGAUACUGGAUGGCUUGAGUUUGGGAGAGGGAUGCGGAAUUCCAGGUGUAGCGGUGAAAUGCGUAGAUAUCGGCAGGAACACCCAGGGGGAAACCAGCCGACUGGGCAUCUGCUGACGCUGAUGUGCGAGAGCGUGGGGAGCGAACCGG
rnacentral:rRNA from 1 species